rnacentral:rRNA from 1 species
UACAGAGGUGGCAAGCGUUUGUUCGGAAUUACUGGGCGUAAAGGGCGCGUAGGCGGCCUUCUAAGUCAGACGUGAAAUCCCCCGGCUUAACCUGGGAACUGCGUCUGAUACUGGAGGGCUUGAGUGCGGGAGAGGGAUGUGGAAUUCCAGGUGUAGCGGUGAAAUGCGUAGAUAUCUGGAGGAACACCGGUGGCGAAGGCGGCAUCCUGGACCGACACUGACGCUGAGGCGCGAAAGCUAGGGUAGCAAACGGG